rnacentral:rRNA from 1 species
UACAGAGGUCCCAAGCGUUGUUCGGAUUCACUGGGCGUAAAGGGUGCGUAGGCUGCAAUGUAAGUCGAACGUGAAAGCCCUCAGCUUAACUGAGGAAGUGCGUUUGAUACUGCAUCGCUUGAGUGUCGGAGGGGAUGGCGGAAUUCCCGGUGUAGAGGUGAAAUUCGUAGAUAUCGGGAGGAACACCUGUGGCGAAGGCGGCCAUCUGGACGACGACUGACGCUGAGACGCGAAAGCGUGGGUAGCAAACAGG